UUCUUCUAUUUAAUUCUCUUCAUGUUCUUCUUCUUCGACGAUUUUGAGAGAUGAUGAGGGUUCGAACCAUUAAGGAUAACAAGUAGGGAUUGUUCGGGUUCUUAUUUGAAGUAUUGAAUCGGUGAAGAAUUGAAGAAAUUAGAGUUUAUAGAUUCGAUUGAUGUUCUGAAAGUCUAAAAGAUGAUAUAUAGAGAUAUUCUUAGAUGAGAAGACAUGGGUAGACGUUAAAUGGAAGUAUUGAAGUUGAUUCAGAUAAUUGAUGAAAUCAAAGAAGUUAGGGUUUCUCAGGUAUUUGAAUUAGAGUUCGAAUUAGUGGUGAAUAAGAUGAAUUAAAAGAUGGGUUUGGAGAUUAUAACACGAGGAAGAAGAUAGUUUCGUUGAUUCGAGGAAUUUAGGAAUCAGAGGUUCUGGUAAUGAAUUUGGGGAUUGAAUUAGGGUUCAAAGGAUUUCAAGAGUUGUAUGGAGAAUUAGAUUGUGUUGUUGUUGCUGAUUUAAGAAUUAGGAAUCAAGAGGAUGUAGAGAUGGAAGAUCAAAGAUUUUAUUGAAGAGUUGGGGUUUUGCGUUUGGGACUGAGGUUGAUAAUUGGAAGUGGUUGAUGAAACUAAGGCUUAAUUAUGUGAAGAGUAAGGUGAUGGAGUGGUUAUUGGUGUUGAUUUGUGUAUUUAGACAACCUCAGAUGAAAGAUGAGGGAAUGGUGGUGAUGAUUGUGUUAGUUAUGAAAUGUGGAUUGCAGGGGGUUGUAGUUGGAUAUUUAGUAUUAAUUGAUGCUGAACUGUUAACAGAAGGAGAUGGGUUCCAAGUUCUAAUGGAUAUCAGUUGAUACAAACUGAAGCGAUUGAUGGUGUUCUUGGAAUGGAUUGCUGAAUCAAUUUAAAGGUAAUUGUCUUCCUAAAUCAAUUUAGUAAAGUUGUUCAUCUUCUUAGAUUAAGUGUAUGUGAAUGAUAAUAGAUAUAGAUUGUGUUGAGUUUUCCCGAGUGAUGUUGAUGAAGUGGUGAAACUGGGGAUAAUUGUGUUUAGUGUAAUUGAUGUAUGAUCUUAACAGAAGUUGGCGUAGUAGUGAUUUUAUGAGAAUAAUGAUGCAAUUUCUGGUGCAGGCAGUGUGUGCUAGUUAUGGAAUUGAGUUGCAGUCAUGAUUAGUUGAACUAGUGGAGAUGGUGCAUGAAUUGCAGUUGUGCUGACUGUUACAGGGCGUGGAUGAAAUAAUGAAAUUCGUAAAUAUUGCAUAUGUGGGUUAUCGUUGUACCGAUUUGGUAAUAAUGAUAGUAUGGGAAUUGAUUGAUGGGUGAUGAAUGUUGGAAGUGAUAAUGGUGGAUAAGACACUGUGGAUGUGAAGAAUGACUGGUUAGAAUGAGUAUAUGUGUUGAUGAGAUGAUCAGCUUUGUAAUGGUGAUAUGUUAGAGUGGUUAUUGACUGAAUGUGCAAUGGUGGUGUCAAGUGUGGUUAUGAGUAAAGAGGAUUUGAAUAUUGCAGCUACUGCAUUUGCAGUUAGUUAUUAACGACGAUCGAUUCAAAAGAUGAACCAGCGGAUUGUGGAUCUCGAGGUAGGCGUGGCUUGUCAUCAAAAGUGGUGGGAAUACAUUUAACUCUUUCGAAACCAUUGUUGUUUCUUUUAAAAAAAAUUAUGUUUAAGGAACUCAUGCAUUGUCAGUUUGUGCUUUCCAUGCGUUGGUUAUUUGUAUUAUGAUUAUUCUGUUGAUUCUUUGUAAUCUUUCCAUGGUUUGGAAAGAACUUAUAAUGUUUGAAUGUCAAUAUGAAUUUUU